rnacentral:rRNA from 1 species
UACGUAGGGGGCAAGCGUUGUCCGGAAUCAUUGGGCGUAAAGCGCGUGUAGGCGGCUUGGCAAGUCGGUUGUGAAAGCCCGGGGCCCAACCCCGGAACUGCAUCUGAAACUGCCUGGCUAGAGUCCCGGAGAGGAAGGCAGAAUUCCCGGUGUAGGGGUGAAAUCCGUAGAUAUCGGGAGGAAUACCAGCGGCGAAGGCGGCCUUCUGGACGGUGACUGACGCUGAGACGCGAAAGCGUGGGGAGCAAACAGG